AAAAAUAGAGCCCUGAACAGGCCCAGGCCUGAUAAAAUGAGAGCUGGGCUCACCCUGUCUGUGUGAGAAGACUUUGCCAAGGCUCAUCACCCUGCCCCAGGACAAGCUCCCACAGCUGCCGGGAGCAAGCGCUCAGCUGCUCCUGUACCACUUCUUCCUUCACUCAGGAAAGUUUACAUUACAUAUUACAUUCCAGGAACACGCAGAACCUGGAAAUUGCGCAACUAUUUGUAGUUCAUACAAAAAAAAAAGAGUGUCAUUUAAUACCCCUAAAACUUGUGGAAAUUGAUGGUGAUCCUAUAAUGGAACACUCUGCAGCCAAGGUACUCAUUAAUGGACACCUGGUUGCUCAUCAAUUCUCUGAUUUUUAAAUCGGCUUGUUAAGCUAUGGAUUAAGGCUUUAAUCACCCUUAAGCUAUGGAUUUCCUUUUAAAUGAUAACUGCCACAUAGCCUCGGUUAUUUAAGAUUUUGCUCUUCCAUAAUUGUUCUCUGGAACAUAUGAAACUUCCACACCAGGAGAACAGCAGACAGCCUUCCAAUAAGGCUGGGAGCCUGUGCCAGCACAGGGAUUUUCAUGCUAUUUUAAGCAUUUACAAGUUGUCUCAAGCCUUAAACGAUAAAAACAUCAAGUAGUGAGAGUGCACUGAACUCAAUAUUUUGCUGUUGAGGCAGCCUAGUGGGAACAUGCUAGUGCAAACAUUUGAAUGUAAGCACCAGCUGGAGGCACUUCCUCCAGCUCUGCCACGAGGAGUUCCUGGGUGAGAACAGAAGCCCUGGCCGUGAGCAGGAGCUGCUGCCCUACAAGGAAAGGUUAAACAGCAUAUCCUAGGCACAAGAGCCCACAAAGUGUGAAACCCAACUUUGCCUCUCAUGAGCAGAUGUGGUGUUGAAGUUACAGGGACAUUUGUGGAGGAGCUGGUGACUCAAAGGGACCUGGUGUGCUGCAGGGACCCCCACAAGCAGGACCUGCAGCUGACCCAGCCUAGAGUCAGUUUCAGAAUUUCAGAAUCACACAUUUUCAGGCCCAUGUACCCAGUAUUGGUCACCACCUGCAAAGGUGAUGAAAACUCCAGAAGCAAAAGCAAGAAAACUCUAGGAGAGGUGGGGGGAUAAUUAGGAGUCAUGUAUAUUUACUGGGCUGUAAACAGAAACAAAAAAAACAAAAUCAAAAUAAAAUCAAAACCCCCCAGUUUUGAUGUGAGAGU
rnacentral:lncRNA from 1 species